CUCAUGAUUUCUUCGUUAGUCGAGAUUCAUUUAGAUGAAAACCAAUUCGAGGGAACUCUUGAUUUUGGGAAUAUCUCUUCAUCAUCUAAGCUUGGAGUGUUAACUGUUGGCGACAACAAUUUUGAUGGGCUAGUUCCAGAAUCUAUAGGGAAAUUACACAAUCUCAAUUCUUUAGAUCUAAGCCAGAACAAUUUCAGAGGGAGAGUCCCUAGAUCUAUAUGGAAACUACGACAUCUCAAUUCUUUAGAUCUUAGCCAUAACAAUUUCAUAGGGAGAGUUCCUAGAUCAAUAUCUAAAUUAGUCAACCUCAAUUCCAUUUAUCUUUCCUAUAACAAGUUUGAAGGUCAAAUACCUCAUCUUCAUCAAUGACAACCUUCAAGCCCUUUUGUUGCAGUUGUCCCAGACUGAAUAAAUUAUUUUUCAGACCUGGGACAUAGUAAACCGAUGUGAUUACUGAGAUAGAGCCAUUGAUCUCCAGUCGCAGAUUUCCUCUUCCUUCUACCAUCAUCCUCCUGUCAUCACCUAACUUCACAUUUUGGCGGAAGGAACUAUCUAGUUCAACAAACUAGUCUUUGUUCCCGCACAUAUGGUUGCUACACCCCGAAUCUAGGAACCAUAUGUGUUCUUCUCCCUUAAUUUCGUCGAUGUGCGCCAUGAGCAGCAUAUCUUCCUCCAUCUCCACGAAAUUGGCUUCCUUUUCCCAUUCUGGACAUUCGGACUUGUAAUGUCCUUUUUUGUGACAUUUGAAACACUCCACAUGUUCCUUGUUGUAGCCCGAGCUUCCACCUCCACGACCUUGGUAUCCUCCUCUUCCUCUUCCUCGAUAUGGAGAUCUACCAUGGCCUCUUCCUCCUUCCGGUUUCCACUGGCUUUCCACCUUCAACGCGUGUUCAUCUCCUGUGUGUCGACUCAGAUUCUGCUCAUGAACCAUCAAUGAGCUUUGUAAUCCAUCAACAUUCAUCUCAUUGAUGUUCUUUGAUUCUUNNNNNNNNNNNNNNNNNNNNNNNNNNNNNNNNNNNNNNNNNNNNNNNNNNNNNNNNNNNNNNNNNNNNNNNNNNNNNNNNNNNNNNNNNNNNNNNNNNNNUUUUUCAGUAAGUGUACGCAAGAUCUUCUCGACCACUUUGGAAUCCGGCAUCUCCUCUCCAAGGUUUCUCAUAUCGUUGGUGACCUCCAUUACUCUUGAGACAUAUUGUUCGAUCACCUCUCCUGCCCUCAUCUCGAGAACUUCGAAGCUUCUUCUCAGCCUCUGCAGCUGCGCACUCUUGACUCUGUCAUCGCCUUGAUAUUUCUUUUUCAUCGAAUCCCACAGCUCCUUCGAUGUUUCCUUCUUCAGAAUUGUUUUGAGAAUUGUCUUGUCGAUUGAUGCGAACAAGUAAUUCUUCACCUUGUGAUCCUUCACGAUCCUCUCUGCACGCUCCGUUCUUUGUGCGCCAUUCAGGAUCACGUUCGGUUCCGGUUGACUGAUCCCUGUCUCGAUAAGAUCCCACCACUCCUUGGAUCUCAGCAAGUUUUCCAUGAGCAUUGCCCAAUGCUCAUAGUCUCCGUCGAACUUGGGGAUAAUCACAGAAUCUUUUUCACUCAUUUCUCUCUUGUACCAGGCUCGUGACAAGCUCUGAUACCACUUGUUACUUUGUAAAGCUAUUCAGUUUUGAAAACAGAGGAACAAAGUUUGACUGAAUGCUUCACGAUAUCAUUAUUCUCAAGAGAUUGACUCUUAAAUAGACCUUACAACGUGCAGCUACAAAAUAGGAACUAAACAACUGAAACAAAUUGACUCCUACAAGUCAGGAUACUUAUUCAAAACGAUUGAAACAUUCAAACUUGACCAAUUGACUCUAAUUGAUUCUUCAAUUUCGUCGAACAGCUUUCUUUGACAUCCCGAGUUUUAUCAGAAUGGUUCCAAGUGAUUUGAACGUUGGGUCAUCGGGUUGAAUUCCGGAUGAAACCAUCUCUUUGAAAGUCUCAACAGCUUCUUUGAAUCUUCCGUCUAAAGCGUAUAAAACGAGAACGUGUUGUAACUCAACGGAUCAGUUCGAAUCUUCAUCUCUCUCAUCUGUUUUGCUAUAUGAGUCGCUUCUUCGAACCUUCCAUUCUUCUUGUACAUACAUAACAUCAUCCCGAAGGUGAACUCGUUUGCUUCUCUUCUCUGUUUCAUGCUUUCGAAUAUAGCUUCCAUUUUUCUCACCAUUGAUGUUUCACUAUACAGGUUGUUGAUGUAUCUACAUCCGGAUACUAUGUCUCGUUACAUGAUUGAAGAAGCUUUCGGUAUAUUGCUUCAGCUUCAUUUAAGUAACCGACUUUAGUGUAGAGCUUGAUCAGAGAAUUGUAUAUAAACGAGUUGUAUUUUGUCAAAUUUAAACAAUCUUUUGCAAAAUUGAGCCAACUUUUUCAUUUAAAUUGAAAUAGUUGUUUUUCUUAUGGAUAUUUAAGGUGUUCCGGGUAAACAUACCUUAUCCGAACCGAACCAAAAAUAAAUUCGAUUUUAUUAAUUCAGCUCUCCAUUCAAAUAGCCAAACUUAAUUCGAACCGAAAUUCCAAAAUACUCGAAUGGAUCCUAGAAUCCCUUAAACAGACUACUCAUAACUGAACAGAACCAAUCCAAACUCGAACGGGUAUCCUAAUGGCCUAACUGUAGGCUCUAGGAUCGAAGAGUGAUAGUUUUAUCUAAUUAAGUAACUUAAGUUAACAUGGUGCAGAAAAUAGGGAUUCUUACAAUUGUUAUGUAACAUCAUAUAUGUCUCUUCAACAUCCUCCCUGACUUUAGACGUUUUGUCGAGUGGAAAUUUAUUCCCAAAAUAAAUGGGGAGAGUGGGUUCGCUGACUCCGUCUCAACCACAUGACUCGAUAACCGAUCAAUAAAUGUCUUUCUAAAUCUUUGGUUGGUGUCCACAAAAACAAAAUUAUUUUCCCAUUUUACUCAUUUUUGCUUCUUUUUAAAUAAAAAAUAAUUCAUAUAUAUGAAGAAGAAUUGCCAAGAAUUUUUCUUUUAUAAAGACAAGUGAGUAAGCAAUACAUAUCGAUCACUUACCAUUCAACAAACAAAACGUAUUUGUUUCCAAAAGAAAAUAAUUGUCAUGAGUCGAAACAAGUCUUAUUGGUUUGGUGUUACCAUCUAUUUCUUAGUUUCUUGUCACCCUUUUAUAAACACCUUUGCUUCUCCCACACAGUCCUUGUGCCGCAACGACCAAAGGGAUGCUCUUUUAGAGCUAAAAGAAGAGUUAUCAAUCCAUUCCAGAAACAGCGCUCCUGUACCAACAAUUUCAUGGAACAAGCGCGUCGACUGCUGUUCUUGGAAGGGUGUGAAGUGUAAUGCUAUCUCCGGAGAGGUGAUAUCACUAAAACUUGGUGACCCCUCUACAACCAACAGCUCUUUGAAAUCUAGCAGUGGUCUUUUUAAACUCCAAAAUCUUCUUCACCUAGAUCUUUCAUCUUUAGGUCUCCAAGGGGAGAUUCCUUCUUCCAUUGGAAAUCUUUCUCAUCUCACAUAUCUUGAUCUUUCUUUCAAUCAAUUAGUUGGUGAAGUUCCGGCUUCAAUCGGUAACCUAAACCAACUAGGAUACAUGGAUCUUUCGUGUAAUGAUCUUAGAGGUAAUAUUCCUACUUCAUUUGCCAACUUAUCCAAGCUUUCUCAAUUGGAAAUCUUUGAAAAUCAAUUCACUGGUGGUUUAGUAGUAUUAGCCAAUUUAACCAACUUGUCCGAAAUAGACCUCAACUCAAAUCACGUCAAAUCCUCGUUUCCCUCAUUCUUGCUCAUGAUUUCUUCGUUAGUCGAGAUUCAUUUAGAUGAAAACCAAUUCGAGGGAACUCUUGAUUUUGGGAAUACCUCUUCAUCAUCUAAGCUUGGAGUGUUAACUGUUGGCGACAACAAUUUUGAUGGGCUAGUUCCAGAAUCUAUAGGGAAAUUACACAAUCUCAAUUCUUUAGAUCUAAGCCAGAACAAUUUCAGAGGGAGAGUCCCUAGAUCUAUAUGGAAACUACGACAUCUCAAUUCUUUAGAUCUUAGCCAUAACAAUUUCAUAGGGAGAGUUCCUAGAUCAAUAUCUAAAUUAGUCAACCUCAAUUCCAUUGAUCUUUCCUAUAACAAGUUUGAAGGUCAAAUACCUCAUCAUUUCUGGAGACCGUCUCAGGUGGGUUCGGGGCAUGUAAUGCUUUCUCAUAAUUCUUUC
rnacentral:lncRNA from 1 species